GUUUGGAACUUGCCAGGGAUGUUUCAGGCUCCUGGAAGAUGGAUUUAAGAUGCCCAAGGGUUCUGCCAACCAGCCAGGCUCCAGUUUUGAUGCACAGUCCAGUUCUCCCAUGGUUCUCCUGGUCUCGCCUCAAGGUCAAAGGCUGGGAAAAGGCAGGCAUUCCCUGGGCUCAGAAACUGCAGCAGCAUCUGCCAGGCUAAAGAGGAAGCGUGCACAGCGAGGAUGGAAAGAAGCAGGCACAGGCGGAGCACAUGGGCAAGCUGGGCCCACAGUCUGGGUGCUUGGCAUCCGCGGCCGGAACAUCCUCCUUCCCGACUCACCGCCGCCCUGGUCGGACUCUGCGCGCGCGAUGCGCUGCGCCUUUAAGUCCAGGAGAGGAACGCGGCGGACAGGCCCGCGCGGG